CCUGACUGCUAUCGGAUUGAUACUAAGCCAUGCGAGUCAUUGUAGUAAUACAAGGCAGACGGCUCAGUAACGCGUAGUCAACCUACCCUAUGGACGGGGAUAACCUCGGGAAACUGAGAAUAAUACCCGAUAGAACAUUAUGCCUGGAACGGUUUAUGUUUCAAAUAAUUUAUUGCCGUAGGAUGGGACUGCGGCCUAUCAGUUUGUUGGUGAGGUAAUGGCCCACCAAGACUAUUACAGGUACGGGCUCUGAGAGGAGUAGCCCGGAGAUGGGUACUGAGACACGGACCCAGGCCCUAUGGGGCGCAGCAGGCGAGAAAACUUUGCAAUGUGCGAAAGCACGACAAGGUUAAUCCGAGUGGUUUCUGCUAAAGGAACCUUUUGUCAGUCCUAGAAACACUGAUGAAUAAGGGGUGGGCAAGUUCUGGUGUCAGCCGCCGCGGUAAAACCAGCACCUCAAGUGGUCAGGAUGAUUAUUGGGCCUAAAGCAUCCGUAGCCUGCUUUGUAAGUUUUCGGUUAAAUCCAUACGCUCAACGUAUGGGCUGCCGGGAAUACUGCAAAGCUAGGGAGUGGGAGAGGUAGACGGUACUCGGUAGGAAGGGGUAAAAUCCUUUGAUCUAUUGAUGACCACCUGUGGCGAAGGCGGUCUACCAGAACACGUCCGACGGUGAGGGAUGAAAGCUGGGGGAGCAAACCGGAUUAGAUACCCGGGUAGUCCCAGCUGUAAACUAUGCAAACUCAGUGAUGCAUUGGCUUGAUGCCAAUGCAGUGCUGCAGGGAAGCCGUUAAGUUUGCCGCCUGGGAAGUACGUACGCAAGUAUGAAACUUAAAGGAAUUGGCGGGGGAGCACCACAAGGGGUGAAGCCUGCGGUUC
rnacentral:rRNA from 1 species